GGGGCUGUGGCUCAGUGGUAGAGCGUCUUUUUUGCAUGUAGAAGGUCCCAGGUUCAAUCCCUGGCAUCUCCA